AUYACAAAGAGAUGGACYAAAAKCGUACUUUGGCUCGGACCAGUCACUKCAUCACUAUCUMAGGCUGCCUGGACAGACUGACCUACUCAGUGGACUGCACACAGGCUGUGACACCAUUUUGGGAGGUGCAGUGCCUCACUAACUGCAGUKAUGGACCUUACAAACCUGCCACCAAUCUCCACAGUAAUGACCAUGUCCCKAUCAAUCAAGGUUAGAGUAAUACAGUUUCACCUUUUCAUUCUGACACUGCUUGUUUUACUGUAGCCAAUCUGAUUGCUUGUUUUGAACUCAGUUCAAAGAAAAGACCCAGCUCUUUCACUCUAUUGGACUGUCCUGGGGAAACAGGAAGAUAUAACAGUUCACGUUACUCAUCAACAACUUGGUGUGUUGUCACUUUACCACUCUCCCUUCUCUCCCUGUGUUUACACCCUGUUUUACUUUAAUAUGGCUCAACA